UACGGAGGGGGCGAGCGUUGUCCGAAGUUACUGGGCGUGAAGCGCGCGUAGGCGGGUUGGUAAGUCCGCUGUGAAAGCCCGGAGCUUAACUCCGGAGGGUCGGUGGAUACUGCCAGUCUUGAAGGUGCUAGGGGGAGAUGGAAUUACCGGUGUAGCGGUGAAAUGCGUAGAUAUCGGUAGGAACACCAGUGGCGAAGGCGGUCUCCUGGGGCAUUCUUGACGCUGAGGCGCGAAAGCUGGGGGAGCAAACGGG
rnacentral:rRNA from 1 species